UCCCUGGUAGCCUAGCAGUUAAGGAUCCAGCAUUGUCACUGCUGUGACUUGGGUUCGAUCCCUGGCCCAGGAA
rnacentral:tRNA from 1 species